GAUGAACGCUGGCGGCGUGCCUAAUACAUGCAAGUCGAGCGAACGGACGAUAAGCUUUCUUCUCUGAUGUUAGCGGCGGACGGGUGAGUAACACGUGGAUAACCUACCUAUAAGACUGGGAUAACUUCGGGAAACCGGAGCUAAUACCGGAUAAUAUUUUGAACCGCAUGGUUCAAAAGUGAAAGACGGUCUUGCUGUCACUUAUAGAUGGAUCCGCGCUGCAUUAGCUAGUUGGUAAGGUAACGGCUUACCAAGGCGACGAUGCAUAGCUGACCUGAGAGGAUGAUCAGCCACACUGGAACUGAGACACGGUCCAGACUCCUACGGGAGGCAGCAGUAGGGAAUAUUCGGCAAAGGGCGCAAGCCUGAUGCAGCCACACCGCGUGAGUGAAGAAGGUCUUCGGAUCGUAAAACUCUGUUGUUGGGGAAGAACAGAUGUGUGAGAAAAUGUGGACAUUUUGACGGUACCUAAAGAGAAAGCCACGGCUAACUUCGUG
rnacentral:rRNA from 1 species